GAUCAGAUAGUAGCGAUCUAAUUUAGACCAUCUUUUUAGGAUCUUUUCUUUUAAUGGGAUGGAAAUAAGUUGUUUGGCUGGUUCAUCCCUUUUUUAUUUUCUCUCUCAUUCAGUUUAUCAACUGACAAAGAGUCUUCAGGUUGACAGUUCUUUCCAGAGACCAUAAAGCAAUAUCGGAUAAGUUGUUGAUCUCAACAUAUUUUGCCAACUCCAUUUCUUGUCGAAAAUCAGACCAAUAAGUGGUAUGUUGAUACUACCACUCUCAAGGCA
rnacentral:lncRNA from 1 species